rnacentral:rRNA from 1 species
AUUGAACGCUGGCGGCAGGCCUAACACAUGCAAGUCGAACGAGUGGCGGACGGGUGAGUAAUGUCUGGGAAACUGCCUGAUGGAGGGGGCUAACUACUGGAAACGGUAGCUAAUACCGCAUACCAUCAGAUGUGCCCAGAUGGGAUUAGCUUGUUGGUGGGGUAAUGGCUCACAAAGGCGACGAUCACUAGCGGGUCUGAGAGGAUGACGAGCCCCACUGGAACGGGGACAUGGUCCAGACUCCUAAGGGAGUCAGCAGUGGGGAAUAUUGCACAAGGGGCGCAAGCCGGAUGCAGCCAUGCCGCGUGGAUGAAGAGGGCCUUGGGGGUGUAAAGUACUUUCAGCGUGGAGGCGUUACCCGCAGAAGAAGCACCGGCUAACUCCGUGCCAGCAACCGCGGUAAUUC